UCUUGUUUUUUUCUCCUCUCUAAAAUUUGAGGGUCCGUAUCUUGUUUGUCUUAGUACUGGCUGCCUAAGGUCUAGAAUAUACAUAACACAGAAACACUCUGUGUUUGUCGAAUGGACACAAACUCUGCUAGCUUGUGCACAGGAUUUACAGCUACUGGUGAUAUACUGAGCUUUAUCUCUGUGAGCCUCUGCCUUAGUGUCUGAAGGGGACAGAGAAAUAGACAAAGGAGAGGAAAAGUCAAAAUCACUGGUUGCCAUUUUUGGAAGCCUCUCUUUCUCCAUGUUAAACCCCUUGGCAUGAAUGAAAGGCUUUCCCCUUUAUCCUUGCUGUGUUUAUUCAUUGUGUCCAAUGAGCUUCUGAAGGUAGGAGUAACUUUGCACAUUUUGCUGUGUGGGCUGCUGCAUCUCUGCCAAAAGGUUUAUGGGAUUUUUACUCAGGAGAUCCAGGAAAAGGAGGAGCCUGGAAUCUAAGCACUUAUCUCCUGAAAAGGUACAGAAACAUGUUGGAGAUCUUGAGCCUCAAGGUGCUUGCUUCAGAAUUUUCCUGAUUCUCCCUCUCCAGACCUAUUCUGUUCUUGGGACCCAAGCUUCUUGGCUCCAGCCCACUCCCCCACUAGAGGAGCUGGAAAGUUUGGUGCUGUGGUCAUACCAAAGAUGGGCAACACCCAGACUCCUCACCCUUUUCCCCAGCAUUGUGAGCGCCAUAUUCAGAGCCUGCAGACCCGAGUGUUAGAGCUACAGCAACAAUUAGCCGUGGCUGUGGCUGCCGACCGCAAGAAAGAUACCAUGAUUGAACAACUGGACAAGACCCUGGCCCGUGUGGUGGAGGGCUGGAACCGGCAUGAGGCUGAGCGGACAGAGGUUCUCAGGGGACUUCAAGAGGAACACCAGGCAGCAGAGCUC
rnacentral:lncRNA from 1 species